GAUGAACGCUGGCGGCGUGCCUAAUACAUGCAAGUCGAGCGAACAGACGAGGAGCUUGCUCCUCUGACGUUAGCGGCGGACGGGUGAGUAACACGUGGAUAACCUACCUAUAAGACUGGGAUAACUUCGGGAAACCGGAGCUAAUACCGGAUAAUAUAUUGAACCGCAUGGUUCAAUAGUGAAGGACGGUUUUGCUGUCACUUAUAGAUGGAUCCGCGCCGCAUUAGCUAGUUGGUAAGGUAACGGCUUACCAAGGCAACGAUGCGUAGCCGACCUGAGAGGGUGAUCGGCCACACUGGAGCUGAGACACGGUCCAGACUCCUACGGGAGGCAGCAGUAGGGAAUCGUCCGCAAUGGGCGAAAGCAUGGCGGAGCAACGCCGCGUGAGUGAUGAAGGUCUUCGGAUCGUAAAACUCUGUUAUUAGGGAAGAACAAAUGUGUAAGUAACUAUGCACGUCUUGACGGUACCUAAUCAGAAAGCCACGGCUAACUACGUG
rnacentral:rRNA from 1 species